GUCCGACAUGUUGUAUAUGCCCAACUGUUUCAACAUCCUCGGUCUACCAUAUCUUUCGCCUGUUUGAAUUUUCUUCUGAUUCGACUCUGCACCUUAUCGAAGAACAUUACACAAUAACCAAGGACUUACGUGCGAUAUGAGUACAUCGGUUCAUCUUUCUAUUUGGCUAUUUGGCAGUGGUGAAAGAUUCUGUCCAACCUAUGUUUGAGAACGGUAUGGGUGUACUUGAGACCUCGGGUAAAAAAGGCAUCCAGAUUUCAAACUUUACCUAACGAUAGAGU